rnacentral:tRNA from 2 species
GGAGAUGUACCCAAGUGGCUGAAGGGUCCGCACUCGAAAUGCGGUAGGCCGGGCAACCGGUGCGAGGGUUCAAAUCCCUCCAUCUCCGC